rnacentral:lncRNA from 1 species
UCAAGACAUGUUUUGUGUGUUGGGCCUCAGCAGCUAUCACGUCUAACGUCUAAGUGUUUGCUCCAUUUCAGGUUGUCAAAGCUUCCCUCUGAUGACGUUGGGGAUCUCUGCUGCUCGCCGCUCUCGGCCGUGACUCCCGCAAUAUUUCGAUGUUUACGUUCACAAUUUCCAUCUGUUGUUUCUGGAACAAUCAACAACGGGGGCCUGGAGAGAAGCACGGGAAUGAGUAUCUGUUUCCCAGAGGUAUUUGAUGGGAAGAGCCAAGGAGGGAGGAAGUGUGGGUCUGCACCCCCAUGUUAACAAUGGCUCUCCUCAGACCCCCAGGCCCAGGCCCAGCCAUUCAUGAAACACCAUGGAGAUGUUAUUGACCUCAAGGUUAACUCUCCUCAGGUAAGCCCAGG